rnacentral:rRNA from 1 species
CCUACGGGGUGCAGCAGUGGGGAAUAUUGCACAAUGGGGGAAACCCUGAUGCAGCGACGCCGCGUGAGUGAAGAAGUAUUUCGGUAUGGAAAGCUCUAUCAGCAGGGAAGAAGCAAGACGGUACCUGACUAAGAAGCCCCGGCUAACUACGUGCCAGCAGCCGCGGUAAUACGGAGGGGGCAAGCGUUAUCCGGAUUUACUGGGUGGAAAGGGAGCGUAGACGGUAUGGCAAGUCUGAAGUGAAAGCCCAGGGCUUAACCCUGGGACUGCUUUGGAAACUGUUAGACUAGAGUGCUGGAGAGGUAAGUGGAAUUCCUAGGGUAGCGGUGAAAUGCGUAGAUAUUAGGAGGAACACCAGUGGCGAAGGCGGCUUACUGGACAGUAACUGACGUUGAGGCUCGAAAGCGUGGGGAGCAAACAGGAUUAGAUACCCUGGUAGUC